UACAGAGGUCUCGAGCGGUGUUCGGAUUCAUUGGGCGUAAAGGGCGCGUAGGCGGCGGGGUAAGUCUGGUGUGAAAUCUCGGAGCUCAACUCCGAAAUUGCACUGGAUACUGCUCUGCUAGAGGGCUGGAGAGGAGAUCGGAAUUCACGGUGUAGCAGUGAAAUGCGUAGAUAUCGUGAGGAAGACCAGUGGCGAAGGCGGAUCUCUGGACAGCUCCUGACGCUGAGGCGCGAAGGCUAGGGGAGCAAACGGG
rnacentral:rRNA from 1 species